AAGUAAAAAGUCGUAACAAGGUCUCCGUAGGUGAACCUGCGGAGGGAUCAUUACUGAGUGCGGGGGUUAGUUGUUCCCCCGACCUCCAACCCUUUGUGAACACAUCUUGUUGCUUCGGGGGCGACCCUGCCAUUCGUGGCAUUCCCCCCGGAGGUCAUCAAAACACUGCAUUCUUACGUCGGAGUAAAAAGUUAAUUUAAUAAAACUUUCAACAACGGAUCUCUUGGUUCUGGCAUCGAUGAAGAACGCAGCGAAAUGCGAUAAGUAAUGUGAAUUGCAGAAUUCAGUGAAUCAUCGAAUCUUUGAACGCACAUUGCGCCCCCUGGUAUUCCGGGGGGCAUGCCUGUUCGAGCGUCAUUUCACCACUCAAGCCUCGCUUGGUAUUGGGCGUCGCGAGUCUCUCGCGCGCCUCAAAGUCUCCGGCUAGGCAGUUCGUCUCCCAGCGUUGUGGCAACUAUUUCGCAGUGGAGUUCGAGCCGUCGCGGCCGUUAAAUCUUUCAAAGGUUGACCUCGGAUCAGGUAGGGAUACCCGCUGAACUUAAGCAUAUCAUA
rnacentral:rRNA from 1 species